rnacentral:rRNA from 1 species
UACGUAGGGAGCAAGCGUUGUUCGGAUUUACUGGGCGUAAAGGGCGCGUAGGCGGCGCGGUAAGUCACUUGUGAAAUCUCUGAGCUUAACUCAGAACGGCCAAGUGAUACUGCAGUGCUAGAGUGCAGGAAGGGGCAAUCGGAAUUCUUGGUGUAGCGGUGAAAUGCGUAGAUAUCAAGAGGAACACCUGAGGUGAAGACGGGUUGCUGGGCUGACACUGACGCUGAGGCGCGAAAGCCAGGGGAGCAAACGGG